rnacentral:rRNA from 1 species
UACGUAGGGUGCAAGCGUUACUCGGAAUUACUGGGCGUAAAGCGUGCGUAGGUGGUGCGUUAAGUCUGUCGUGAAAGCCCCGGGCUCAACCUGGGAAUGGCGAUGGAUACUGGCGCGCUAGAGUGCGGUAGAGGAGAGUGGAAUUCCCGGUGUAGCAGUGAAAUGCGUAGAGAUCGGGAGGAACAUCAGUUGCGAAGGCGGCUCUCUGGACCAGCACUGACACUGAGGCACGAAAGCGUGGGGAGCAAACAGG